rnacentral:rRNA from 1 species
GUACGGGGGGGGCAAGCGUUGUUCGGAAUUACUGGGCGUAAAGGGCUCGUAGGCGGCCAACUAAGUCGGAUGUGAAAUCCCCAGGCUCAACCACAGAAUGGCCUUCGAUACUGGGACGCUUGAGUAUGGUAGAGGUUGGUGGAACUGCGAGUGUAGAGGUGAAAUUCGUAGAUAUUCGCAAGAACACCGGUGGCGAAGGCGGCCAACUGGACCAUUACUGACGCUGAGGCGCGAAAGCGUGGGGAGCAAACAGG